CAAUAGCGUAUAUUAAAGUUGUUGCAGUUAAAAAGCUCGUAGUUGGAUUUCGGGGCAGCCUGGCUGGUCCGCCGCAAGGCGAGUACUGGUCAGCCGCCCUUCCUCUCGAAAGCCCCGACUGCUCUUUAUUGCAGUGGUCGGGUAGUUCGGGACGUUUACUUUGAAAAAAUUAGAGUGUUCAAGGCAGGCCUACGCCUGAAUACAUUAGCAUGGAAUAAUGGAAGAGGACCUCGGUCCUAUUUUGUUGGUUUCCAGGACCGAAGUAAUGAUUAAGAGGGACAGUUGGGGGCAUUCGUAUUUAAUUGUCAGAGGUGAAAUUCUCGGAUUUAUGAAAGACGAACAACUGCGAAAGCAUUUGCCAAGGAUGUUUNCAUUA
rnacentral:rRNA from 1 species